rnacentral:rRNA from 1 species
UACAGAGGUCCCGAGCGUUGUUCGGAUUCACUGGGCGUAAAGCGUGCGCAGGCGGUGAUGUAAGACAGGUGUGAAAUCCCCGGGCUUAACCUGGGAACUGCAUUUGUGACUGCAUUGCUGGAGUGCGGCAGAGGGGGAUGGAGUUCCGCGUGUAGCAGUGAAAUGCGUAGAUAUGCGGAGGAACACCGAUGGCGAAGGCAAUCCCCUGGGCCUGCACUGACGCUCAUGCACGAAAGCGUGGGGAGCAAACAGG